GUAGGGAAUAUUGGACAAUGGGGGCAACCCUGAUCCAGCCAUGCCGCGUGUGUGAAGAAGGCCUUUUGGUUGUAAAGCACUUUAAGCGAGGAGGAGGCUCUUCUAGUUAAUACCUAGGAUGAGUGGACGUUACUCGCAGAAUAAGCACCGGCUAACUCUGUGCCAGCAGCCGCGGUAAUACAGAGGGUGCGAGCGUUAAUCGGAUUUACUGGGCGUAAAGCGUACGUAGGCGGCUUUUUAAGUCGGAUGUGAAAUCCCUGAGCUUAACUUAGGAAUUGCAUUCGAUACUGGGAAGCUAGAGUAUGGGAGAGGAUGGUAGAAUUCCAGGUGUAGCGGUGAAAUGCGUAGAGAUCUGGAGGAAUACCGAUGGCGAAGGCAGCCAUCUGGCCUAAUACUGACGCUGAGGUACGAAAGCAUGGGGAGCAAACAGGAUUAGAUACCCUGGUAGUCC
rnacentral:rRNA from 1 species